CACGUAGGGGGCAAGCGUUGUCCGGAUUUAUUGGGCGUAAAGAGCUCGUAGGUGGUUCGGUAAGUCGGGUUUGAAACCUCCAGGCUCAACCUGGAGACGCCACCCGAUACUGCUGUGACUGGAGUCCGGUAGGGGAGCGUGGAAUUCCUGGUGUAGCGGUGAAAUGCGCAGAUAUCGUAAGGAAGACCAGUGGCGAAGGCGGGUCUCUGGACAGUUCCUGACGCUGAGGCACGAAGGCCAGGGGAGCAAACGGG
rnacentral:rRNA from 1 species